GGGGGCCCGCAAGCGGUGGAGCAUGUGGUUCAAUUCGACGCAACGCGAAAAACCUUACCUGGGCUCGAACGGCUAUGGAUCGACCGUAAAAAUAUGGUUUUCCCGCAAGGGACUGUAGUUGAGGUGCUGCAUGGCUGUCGUCAGCUCGUGUCGUGAGAUGUUGGGUUAAGUCCCGCAACGAGCGCAACCCUUGUCCUGUGUUGCCAUCAUUUAGUUGGGCACUCGCAGGAAACCGCCAGCGAUAAGUUGGAAGAAGGGGGGGAUGAUGUCAAGUCAUCAUGGCCUUUAUGUCCAGGGCUACACACGUGCUACAAUGGACGGUACAAAGCGCUGCAAACCCGCGAGGGGGAGCUAAUCGCAAAAAACCGUUCUCAGUUCGGAUUGCAGGCUGCAACUCGCCUGCAUGAAGCUGGAAUCGCUAGUAAUGCCGUAUCAGAACGACGGCGUGAAUACGUUCCCGGGCCUUGUACACACC
rnacentral:rRNA from 1 species